GCGUUUGACAUGGUAGGACGACUGGCAGAGAUGCCUUUCGUUCCCUUCGGGGACCUACACACAGGUGCUGCAUGGCUGUCGUCAGCUCGUGCUGUGAAGUGUUGGGUUAAGUCCCGCAACGAGCGCAACCCUUGCCUUUAGUUGCCAGCAGUUCGGCUGGGCACUCUAAAGGGACUGCCGGUGUUAAACCGGAGGAAGGUGGGGAUGACGUCAAGUCCUCAUGGCCUUUAUGACCAGGGCUACACACGUACUACAAUGGCCGAUACAAAGGGCAGCGACACUGCGAGGUGAAGCCAAUCCCGUAAAAUCGGUCUCAGUCCGGAUUGGAGUCUGCAACUCGACUCCAUGAAGUUGGAAUCGCUAGUAAUCGUGGAUCAGCAUGCCACGGUGAAUACGUUCCCGGGCCUU
rnacentral:rRNA from 1 species